rnacentral:rRNA from 1 species
GUAGUCCACGCCGUAAACGAUGGAUACUAGCUGUUGGAAGCAAUUUCAGUGGCUAAGCGAAAGUGAUAAGUAUCCCACCUGGGGAGUACGUUCGCAAGAAUGAAACUCAAAGGAAUUGACGGGGGCCCGCACAAGCGGUGGAGCAUGUGGUUUAAUUCGAUGAUACGCGAGGAACCUUACCAAGGCUUAAAUGUAGAUUGACCGGUUUGGAAACAGAUCUUUCGCAAGACAAUUUACAAGGUGCUGCAUGGUUGUCGUCAGCUCGUGCCGUGAGGUGUCAGGUUAAGUCCUAUAACGAGCGCAACCCCUGUUGUUAGUUGCCAGCGAGUCAUGUCGGGAACUCUAACAAGACUGCCAGUGCAAACUGUGAG